rnacentral:tRNA from 1 species
GUUUGUGUAGAUUAUAUGAGAUUACAAAGCUGUUAACUUUGGGGAGCUUAAGUUUUAGGCCACAUUCG